AGUAACGCGCGGAUAACCUGCCUUACACUGGGGGAUAACACUUAGAAAUAGGUGCUAAUACCGCAUAAGCGCACAGAGCCGCAUGGCUCAGUGUGAAAAACUCCGGUGGUGUAAGAUGGAUCCGCGUCUGAUUAGCUGGUUGGCGGGGUAGAAGCCCACCAAGGCGACGAUCAGUAGCCGGCCUGAGAGGGUGAACGGCCACAUUGGGACUGAGACACGGCCCAAACUCCUACGGGAGGCAGCAG
rnacentral:rRNA from 1 species